CAGGCUCUGGGUUGCCGGGCUGGGCUGCUGUUCCGCUCUGCAACCACUGCUUAGGUCUCUCGGGAUCCUGGAUACAGUCCCUCCCUCAAGAGGAAGAUCAGUGAGCGCCUACAUUAGUCUCCGAUUCCCAGUUUGAAAUCCUGGGAAAGAACCGUGUCAGGCGGCUGCCUCUCUCGCUCCGCUGGACUCCACUCACCCCGGGAUGAUGAUGCUCGAAGCAGGCAUCAUUUAGACAAAGAUGACCAAUAGAGGAACUAGGAGCUGUGCAUCAGUCCUGUCAGGAAGAAGGAAGGAGGACAGAUGGGAGAGUGUCUUGGUGAGCCAAACCCUCGUCUCUCCAAGUAGAAGCUCUCCGUCUGCUUCCAGCCUCCCAUUUCCAGCUGCCCUCAGGAAAUUGCCACUGGAUGUCCCCAAGGCACCUCCAACGCCACGAGCCUGAAACAAAGCACAUCCUCUCCUCUGUGCCGAGACCCCCUUCCUGCUGAAGGCGCCCUUAUCCUCCCAGCCCGUGGAGCUCCAGGUCAGAAGCAGCUUUGAUGGCACCUCUUCCUUCCUUCCUGAUGUGCCAGGAGUCGCCAAGCCCACAAAGCUUCCUUCCCAGUCUCGCUGGGGUUCGUCUCCCGCAGCACCUUGGCCUGAGUUCCAGCCCUCCUCCCCUCUCCUCAGGACUCAGGCCCCUUUCCAGUGCGCCCGGCACUGGCUGCCAGAGACAUCUGGCCACUGCAGGACUCUUACCACAUACCCGCCCAACAAGCUGCGGUGAUUCUCUUCGCCUACUGCUGCAAGUCCAGGGGCCCCGUAAAGCAGCCCCUCUCUGACUUCCUUUCCUGUCAGAUCUGUCUUCUCACCCAUCAUUCAGUUUCCUGUGCUCCCUCUGGCUAGAAUGCCCUCCCCCUUCGUGUAUCCAGCCGUAACUACCCAUGAGUCAAGACCUGGAAAGGUAAAUUCCAUUGUAUGCUGUUUUCCCACUCUGCUUAAUAAAUAUAACAGCCCGGAGCUCUCUAAUGAGAACUCUGAGAUUAUUUGCAUGGUCUAUGUGAAAGAGAGCCAUGAUUGAUUGGUGAUGUCUCCCAUGUCAUGGGGUUGAUGUCGUCAUGGGUGUAGGAGGGAGAAAUAGUUGACUAGUGAUGUCUGCCAUGGGUAAAGGAGGGAGCCAUGGGUAAAGGAGGGAGACACAGAAGUAAGUUGCUUUGUCUUGAG
rnacentral:lncRNA from 1 species